rnacentral:rRNA from 1 species
UACGUAGGGGGCAAGCGUUGUCCGGAAUCAUUGGGCGUAAAGAGCGUGUAGGCGGCUCGGUAAGUCCGCUGCGAAAGUCCAGGGCUCAACCCUGGAAUGCCGGUGGAAACUGUCGAGCUAGAGUCCGGAAGAGGCGAGUGGAAUUCCUGGUGUAGCGGUGAAAUGCGCAGAUAUCAGGAGGAACACCAAUGGCGAAGGCAGCUCGCUGGGACGGUACUGACGCUGAGACGCGAAAGCGUGGGGAGCAAACAGG